UACGUAGGCAGCAAACGUUGUUCGGAAUUACUGGGCGUAAAGAGUGUGUAGGCGGCUUUGCAAGUUUGGUGUGAAAUCUCCCGGCUUAACUGGGAGGGUGCGCCGAAAACUGCAAGGCUCGAGUGCUGGAGAGGAGAGCGGAAUUCCUGGUGUAGCGGUGAAAUGCGUAGAUAUCAGGAGGAACACCGGUGGUGUAGACGGCUCUCUGGACAGUCACUGACGCUGAGACACGAAAGCGUGGGGAGCAAACAGG
rnacentral:rRNA from 1 species